rnacentral:rRNA from 1 species
CCUACGGGAGGCAGCAGUGAGGAAUAUUGGACAAUGGGCGAGAGCCUGAACCAGCCAAGUCGCGUGAGGGAGUACUGCUCUAUGGGUUGUAAACCUCUUUUGUCGGGGAGCAAAAGCCGGACGUGUCCGGCUGUGAGAGUACCCGAAGAAAAAGCAUCGGCUAACUCCGUGCGAGCAGCCGCGGUAAUAUGGAGGAUGCGAGCGUUAUCCGGAUUUAUAGGGUGUAAAGGGGGCGCAGGCGGAGUAGUAAGUCAGCGGUCAAAUCGUGGGGCUCAACCCAAUCCAGCCGUUGAAACUGGGGAUCUAGAGUGUGCGAGAGGUAUGCGGAAUGCGUGGUGUAGCGGUGAAAUGGGUAGAUAUCACGCAGAACCCCGAUUGCGAAGGCAGCAUACCGGUGCACAACUGACGCUCAGGCACGAAAGCGUGGGUAUCGAACAGGAUUAGAUACCCUUGUAGUC